GGAAGAAUCUACUAACUUUCCUGAUUUUUAUUGGCUCUGAGAUCCGAAGCCAGUUUUUUUUGUUGUUGUUGUUGAGUAUACAGGAUUGUCAGGCAGAUCUGGCUGUGGAAAGGAGACUGUGGACAGCAAGUUUAGAGGCGUGACUGAAAGUCUUGCUGCGAUCUGAGCUGCUGAAUCAGGUUUCUGGUUACUAUGGGCAACGGCCGUGUUUUCUUUUUGAUGUCCUUUGCAGUGGAUCACAGCUACCUGCUGAGAAACUCCUAGAGGGCAGAGGCAUGCCUGCCAUCUUCAUCAUUGCAUUACCAUCACCCAACACUAUCAGGGGACCUGCCCUGAUAAUCAGUCUACAGUUGUAUCCAGCAGCUCCAGAGAGACAGCGACCAGCAAGAAGGGGCCAUGAUGAUGGUGGUGGUUUUUUCAAAACGAAAAGGGGGAUAUGUAGGGAAAAGAAAGAGAGAUCAGACUCUUACAGACUCUUACUGUGUCUACAUAGAAAGGGAAGACAUAAGAGACUCCAUUUGGAAAAAGACCUGUACUUUAAACAAUUGCUUUGCUGAGAUGUUGUUAAUCUGUAGCUUUGCCCCAGCCACUUUGCCCCAACCACUUUGACCCAGUCUGGAGCUCACAAAAACAUGUGUUGUAUGAAAUCAAGGUUUAAGGCAUGUAGGGCUGUGCAGGAUGUGCCUUGUUAACCAAAUGUUUGCAAGCAGUAUACUUGGUAAAAGUCAUCACCAUUCUCUUGUCUCAAUAAACCAGGGGCACAAUGCACUGUGGAAAGCCGCAGGGACCUCUGCCCUUGAAAGCUGGGUAUUAUUCAAAGUUUCCCCCCAUGUGAUAGUCUGAAAUAUGGCCUCGUGGGAUGAGAAAGGCCUGACGGUCCCCUAGCCCGACACCCAUAAAAGGUCUGUGCUGAGGUGGAUUAGUCAAAGAGGAAAGACUCUUGCAUUUGAGAUAGAGGAAGGCCACUGUCUCCUGCCUGCCCCUGGGAACUGAAUGUCUCGGUAUAAAACACGAUUGUACAUUUGUUCAAUUCUGAGAUGGGAGAAAAACCGCCCUAUGGUGGGAGGUGAGACAUGUUUACAGCAAUACUGCCUUGAUAUUCUUUACUCCACUGAGAUGUUUGGGUGGAGAGAAACAUAAAUCUGGCUUACAUGCACGUUCAGUCAUAGUACCUUCCCUUGAACUUCAUUAUGACAUAGAUUCUAUUGCUCACAUGUUUGUUGCUGACCUUCUUAUUAUCACCCUGCCCUCCUACUACAUUCCUUUUUGCUGAAAUAAUAAAGAUAGUAUUCAAUAAAAACUGAGGGAACUCAGAGACCGGUGCCAGUGCAGGUCCUUGGUAUGCUAAGCGCCGGUACCCUGGGCCCACUGUUGUUUCU
rnacentral:lncRNA from 1 species